CAGUCGCCACGGUAAUACGAAGGGGGCUAGCGUUGUUCGGAAUCACUGGGCGUAAAGGGUGCGUAGGCGGGCAUUUGAGUCAGGGGUGAAAUCCCGAGGCUCAACCUCGGAACUGCCCUUGAUACUGGGUGUCUUGAGUCCGGAAGAGGUGAGUGGAACUGCGAGUGUAGAGGUGAAAUUCGUAGAUAUUCGCAAGAACACCGGUGGCGAAGGCGGCUCACUGGUCCGGAACUGACGCUGAGGCACGACAGCGUGGGGAGCAAACAGGAUUAGAUACCCGCGUAGUCCCUGUCUCUUAUAC
rnacentral:rRNA from 1 species